GCCAGUGUGGCUCAGUGGUUUGAGUAUUAGACUACAACUCUGGAGAUCAGGGUCCGAUUCCCUGCUCGAGGA